UCCCUGGUGGUCCAGUGGGUAAGACUGUGUACUCCUAAUGCAGGGGGCCUGGGUUCAAUCCCCGCUCAGGGAA